UCCCAUCUCAUUGGUGUUUAGGAGCAUAUACCCACGUGGGUGAUUGAAAGAUGAACUGAGGUCCACACUCCAGUCGGCUGUGGUAAUGCACCGUAAAGUUAGUUGCCAACCGCCAUAUCAAGUCAGAAGAAGCCUGAAGGAAAGAGAGAUUACUAGAAACUAACCCGGUUUACCGUUUAUCUGUGGAUUCAAUGUUGGAGUAGAGGACCUGCAUUUCAGGGUUAUUUUUCGUCUUUGGACUUUACAUGGCGAUGACCCCGGAGCAGCUAGAGAGGGACAUCAGAACAAGUCUAACUUCACCAGUACCACCAUGGCUGAGGACACAAGGGGUAAUUCAUCUGUCAGACGAGGUCAGGAAUCGGAGGGAGGUGGAGAAGGAGGUGCAGGAGAAGAGCCAGCAUACAGCCAGGAUAGAAGAGAAGAUCCACAGGCUGAGAGAGGCCAGCUCUGGUUCUUCAGAAAUAGAGAAUGCUGUGGACAGUGACAGUGGACAGUGAGGAGGAAGACACCAGUAUCACUUACUGAACAGAUGACAGAACCAACAAACCAUUGAUGCAGGAGUUAGAGGCCAGGAAGAAUCAUGUGAUCUCCUCUGGUACAGUGAGUUCCUUGUGUAGAACUCUGUCCAUAAAGGAAGGAGAGCUGAUCACUGCUAAAGGCCAGCAGGAUGAGUUGGGACGGCAGAUGAGGACAGGUUAGUCUAGCUAUAGGUCAUGUCCAGGAAGAUAGUGAAGGACAGGUUGGCCCAGCUACAGGCCAUGUCCAGGAAGAUAGUGAAGGACAGGUUGUCCCAGCUAAAGGAUGUAGUCCAGGUGCAAGAGGGAGUGACCCAGAUGAAACAGGAAGUAGCUGAGGUCAAAGGUUAGACUAGCAGCUCAGCCGAGCAUUGAAGGUGAAGAGAGAAGCCCAGAGGAGCCGGGGGAGAGAGGCCCAGGUCUGCCAGGAGACCAUUGACACACUGAACCUGCAGAGCAACAGCCUAGUGGCCCUGGAGUAGAUAAAGACCAGGGUAUCUGACCUCUCUCCUCAUUCAUAGUAAUCUGGAGUACAGACCAGGAUAUGACUGACCUCUCUCCACAUCCGUAGUCAACUGGAAUACAGACCAGGGUAUAAUUACAAUGGCGCCGGAGGAGAUGGCUGCAGUUUUACGGCCUACUAACCAAUUUUGCGUGUGUGUUUUCACAUUAUUUGUAACUUAUUUUCUACAUAAUGUUUCUGCCACCAUCUCUUAUGACCAAAAAUAGCUUCUGGAUAUCAGGACACCGAUUGCUCACCUCGAACUGGACAAAGAUUUUUAAUUUAACGAGUCGGACGCAAAGGAUUUAUUCCAGACACCCGACAAGGCCCAAAUCCCCGUCAUUCACAUGAAGAGAUGGAUAUAUCGGGACGUAGGUCGGGGUGCCUUGUAAGGAUCCAACGGAGAGUGUGUAAUCUGCCUUUACCAUCAGUCCAAUUAGCCAACGUACAACCAUUAGAUAACAAAAUAGACGAGCUGCGAUCACGAAUAUCCUACCAACGGGACAUUAAAAACUGUAAUAUAUUAUGUUUCACUGAGCUGUGUGGCUGAACGACGACAUGGAUAACAUACAGCUGGCUGGGUUUCCGUGCAUCGGCAAGAUAGAACAGCUGCCUCCGGCACAGCAGAUGGAACCAGCGUUGGCAUGCAAAACAUUCAAUCAAAACAAAGCCAAGCGUAACACGUUAUAAAUAAUAUCAAAUAUCAAUGCAGUAUGACGAAUGAGCCAUCCAUUGUGUUAUAUCAUAAAUUGUCUUACAUGCCGUCACUGUUGUCAAAAGAUUAUAAACAUGUUAAAUAAAGUUACUAACCCAGUCA